rnacentral:rRNA from 1 species
CCUCGCAUGAAGUCGGAAUUGCUAGUAAUCGCAGAUCAGCAUGCUGCGGUGAAUACGUUCCCCGGGCCUUGUACACACCGCCCGUCACACCAUGGGAGUCGGUAACACCCGAAGUCGGUAGCCUAACCGUAAGGAGGGCGCCGCCGAAGGUGGGAUUGAUGACUGGGGUGAAGUCGUAACAAGGUAGC